CCAAACCAACAACAACAACAAAAAAAUAAAAAUAAAGAAAUAAAAAAUCCAGUCUUUGUUAGAAUAAUUUCAAAAUAUGGGCUUAUACUGAUUGCGUAUUUUUGUUUUAUAAAAUGGGUUAGACGUACGGCUCAAAAUGGUACUAUGAUUAAGCCCAAUAUGAUGUGUGAUCAUCUUGUUUUAUGGGCUUUAGUGCACCUUGGAUGUAUAGGAUUGAGUCCUAUUUAUUGUGGUACUUUUGAUAUGUAGGCCAGGAAACCCAAUUAGGGUUUUGGAGCCUUUAAUGGGAAGGCUCCUCUAUGUUUCCUAUAUAUAGGCUAGGUCCCCCUCUCCUCUCCAUAUGGUUGAUAGCUUGCCCCAUUGACGGCUAUCUUUUGUGAGGAGUAAGGAAGGGAAGAUCCAGCCGCUAUUAUUCCAGGUGAUUGAGGAACGUAUUCAAUAUGUCUUCCGCAGGUAUAUCUCUUAAACUUGAAUACGGUAUUAUUUGUGAUUCUAAAUCUUAGCAUGUUAUUAUUUAU
rnacentral:lncRNA from 1 species